AUUGAACGCUGGCGGCAGGCCUAACACAUGCAAGUCGGACGGUAGCACAGAGGAGCUUGCUCCUCGGGUGACGAGUGGCGGACGGGUGAGUAAUGUCUGGGGAUCUGCCCGAUAGAGGGGGAUAACCACUGGAAACGGUGGCUAAUACCGCAUACGUCGCAAGACCAAGGUGGGGGACCUUCGGGCCUCACACCAUCGGAUGUGCCCAGAUGGGAUUAGCUAGUAGGUGGGGUAAUGGCUCACCUAGGCGACGAUCCCUAGCUGGUCUGAGAGGAUGACCAGCCACACUGGAACUGAGACACGGUCCAGACUCCUACGGGAGGCAGCAGUGGGGAAUAUUGCACAAUGGGCGCAAGCCUGAUGCAGCCAUGCCGCGUGUAUGAAGAAGGCCUUCGGGUUGUAAAGUACUUUCAGCGGGGAGGAAGGCGGUGGAGUUAAUAACUUCACCGAUUGACGUUACCCGCAGAAGAAGCACCGGCUAACUCCGUGCCAGCCGCCGCGGUAA
rnacentral:rRNA from 1 species